rnacentral:lncRNA from 1 species
UUGGUUUCAUUAUAGAGUUUACUCAGUUAUCAGAAAUGGUUUUUAUUUGGAGCAUGGAUGCUCUUCAUUUCACAUUGGGUAUUGUAUUCCCCUUCUACAGAUGAACCCACAGAUAUGAUUCCACGAAGCUGUCAACUUGCAACAGAUGUUCCUCAUGUCACACAGCUGCUAAACAUGACAAAAGUCUGCCAAACUGAAAUAAAAUUUGGAGGUCAUCGAGUACAAUCAGCAGAAUCAGGAAGCUGCAUUCAACAGCAGGAUUCCAGACUGUCAGGACUUGGACCAGUAGAAAGCAGUGGCACUGAGAGAAGCUGAAGGGGGAUGUGGCUGGAUUUGUGGCUUCCCACAUAACAUGUAUUGUCCAGAAAGUGGUCAGAGCUUAAAAGGAAGUCAGAUUAGAAGAGGAAAAAGUAGGUAUUUGUGAUGAAAGUUGAAAGCAUGAGCUCUUUAUCACAUGCAUUUUUUUGUCAAUCUUAAUCAGUGUUAUAUGCCAAAAGUUACAUAUCCCUAAAGAAUUGGACCUAUUUUGUCCUUUUGUUGUCAAUCUUAAUCAGUGUUAUAUGCCAAAAGUUACAUAUCCCUAAAGAACUGGACCUCUUUUGUCCUUUUGUCAAAUACACACACACACACACACACACACGCACGCACACACGCACGCACGCACGCACGCACGCACGCACGCACGCACGCACGCACGCACGCACGCUCUAUACUGUUAACCCUUAAUUGCAUCAUUCCAAAACUCAUAGAAAAGCAGAGGGAGUGUAUAUUGCAAACCUCACCUGCUUCAUAAUUACGCACUUUGAGUAGGACUUUCUGCUAGCAAUGAGGCAAAUAGUGAAAAUAUGUGUAUUAGUUAUACAUCUAAACACAAAGAGAAAUAGAUUUUUGUGCAAGCCAUGUUUGUUAGGGAGCCAUGGAAAAACAUAAAAGUAUAAAAGUAAGAUCAUUACCUUUCAGGUGACAGUUUAAUCUUAAGAUUGGCCUCAGAAUGCAGGUAGAGUAUUUUCAGUAACAAACAACAUAUCUGUACCUUUGAUAAUUUUCAAUAACAGGAAUGACUUAAGUUGUGUCACAUAUGAUGAUGACAUGAUUGCAAAUGAUCUUUUUUUUAACCCUCUGUACUUCCAGCUGAAUGUUUUAUAAACUGCCUUUAAAAUAAAUACAAGUCAAUGUACACUAUCAUUGUUAUCUUUGGUAAAGCUCUCAGAGGUGCUUAAACUGAAUAAGAUUUGAUAAAUACUAAUUCCAUCAAUGUUACAACUAAACAGAACAUUUCCAUAGGCUAUAUUCAAGCCAAACUUACAGAGGGGGAUAUUGAUAUUUCUUCUGUAAAUUGUGUACUUUUA